AGAAUGACUAAUAAGCGGCAAACAAAAGAUAGGAAUGAAAGGGUAAAUUAUGUCAUGAGAGCACAAACCGUUUCAUAUUUUUAUUUAGAGAGAUCUUUUUAACAAGCAAUUGUUUCUGAUUUUCCUGGUGAGCUGGAACAUUAGAGGCUUGAGGUGAAGGUGUAAUCUUAGUGAUAUAGAGCCUAGCUCACUGUGCCUCAUGUGUUUAGACUUUAAAACAAUAUGUUCAAUCUCAACUCAAUUAAGCUUUUAUCUCAAAAAUUUGGAGUCAGCUAUAUAGAUACUUUUUCUCCACUCUAAACGAUUU
rnacentral:misc_RNA from 1 species